AUACGGAGGGUGCAAGCGUUGUUCGGAUUUAUUGGGCGUAAAGCGAGUGUAGGCGGUUUGACAAGUCGAAUGUGAAAUCCCGAGGCCCAACCUCGGAACUGCAUCCGAAACUGUCAGGCUAGAGUCCCGGAGAGGGUGGCGGAAUUCCCGGUGUAGGGGUGAAAUCCGUAGAUAUCGGGAGGAACACCAGUGGCGAAGGCGGCCACCUGGACGGUGACUGACGCUGAGACUCGAAAGUGUGGGGAGCGAACAGGAUUAGAAACCCUAGUAGUCC
rnacentral:rRNA from 1 species